GACGAACGCUGGCGGCGUGCUUAACACAUGCAAGUCGAACGGUGAAGGGACCAGCUUGCUGGUUCUGGAUGAGUGGCGAACGGGUGAGUAACACGUGAGUAACCUGCCUCCUUCUUCUGGAUAACCGCAUGAAAGUGUGGCUAAUACGGGAUAUUCUGGUUCUGUCGCAUGGCGGGCCCGGGAAAGAUAUUGUUUCGGUGGGGGAUGGGCUCGCGGCCUAUCAGCUUGUUGGUGGGGGGAUGGCCUACCAAGGCGGUGACGGGUAGCCGGCAGGAGAGGGGGGACGGUCACACUGGGAAUGCGACACAGCCCAGACUCGUACGGGAGGCAGCAGUGGGGAACAUUGCACAAGGGGCGCUAGCCUGAUGCCGCGACGCCGGGUGAGGGAUGGAGGCCUUCGGGUUGUAAACCUCUUUCGCCAGUGAAGCAGGCCUGCUCAUUGUGGGUGGGUUGACGGUAGCUGGACAAGAAGCGCCGGCUAACUACGUG
rnacentral:rRNA from 1 species